rnacentral:lncRNA from 1 species
CCCUAUAUAUGUAAGACUCGAUCGAAGUGGUCAUUUAUUGUAUCAAACGGUAUGUAUGGAUGUAAGACUCUUUUAUUCGGUAUCUGUGUUCGGUGAGCAUUGAUCUCUGGGAUCACUGAGCACGGCGAUCUCGACACGUAAGUUGGGGUCCCCACAGUAUCUCUACUUGGUGCGGAAGUUUUGGCUAAUGUGAGGUGGAAGCAAUCGUCACAUGCUAAGGGAUCUCUAAUCAUAUAACAUUGUUGAG